rnacentral:sRNA from 1 species
GUGAAUCUGGUUUACACCAGCUCCUGCCCUGCCUUCACUCUUCUCCCCUGAUUCAAGACUCCUCUGCUUUGGACUGAAGCACUGCAGGAGUUUGUGACCAAGAACUUCAAGAGUCAAGACAGAAGGAAGCCAAGGGAGCAGUGCAAUGGAUUUCUCAGUAAAGGUAGACAUAGAGAAGGAGGUGACCUGCCCCAUCUGCCUGGAGCUCCUGACAGAACCUCUGAGCCUAGACUGUGGCCACAGCUUCUGCCAAGCCUGCAUCACUACAAAGAUCAAGGAGUCAGUGAUCAUCUCAAGAGGGGAAAGCAGCUGUCCUGUGUGUCAGACCAGAUUCCAGCCUGGGAACCUCCGACCUAAUCGGCAUCUGGCCAACAUAGUUGAGAGAGUCAAAGAGGUCAAGAUGAGCCCACAGGAGGGGCAGAAGAGAGAUGUCUGUGAGCCCCAUGGAAAAAAACUCCAGAUCUUCUGUAAGGAGGAUGGAAAAGUCAUUUGCUGGGUUUGUGAACUGUCUCCGGAACACCAAGGUCACCAAACAUUCCGCAUAAACGAGGUGGUCAAGGAAUGUCAGGUAGGCUCCAAGAUAGAGGAAGAGAGAGCAGAGAGCAGAAGAUGGUACCUAAUGUGAAAUCUCCACUUUUUUUGUCCUGCUUUAUUCCCCUUGUCACCAUAGAACGGAGAGCCCUGUGAUCUCUUUCCAUACUCUUUGCUUAGUUUCUGAUGCCUAAAGGACACUGCUGCACAUUGUUUUAUUUAAAAAACAGUACAAAUUUUUAGCAAGGAAAAGUUGAAUGAAUGGAGAAUUGCUUUGUAAGAUAAGCUUUCAUUGCCCCUCCGAGAAGAACAGUGUUUUUGGGAACACGUCUGGUUAGAUGUGGGAAGAGUGGCAAUGAAAGGAAGCCUUUCCUUACUGCAGGGUCUGCUUUUUC